UUGGGUUGACCCGAACCCAAGUUGCAGCUCUAGCCAAGACUAUGAUGCUAUGGAAGUAUAAGGCUCCAACUAGGGUGGUCAUGCUCAGCUGGUUAGUUGGGAAAGGCAAAGUGCUUACAAGGGAUCAUCUUAGAAGCAGAUAGAUGAUCAUCCUAACUUGUGCGUUCUGUUACUAAGAAAUGAGGAGUCAGUGAACCACUUAUUUAUUCACUAUGAUUUUGGACGAGCUGUGGGGGAGAUGCUUUGGUUUGUUUAGAGUUUGAUGUGCAAUGGCCCGUUCGAUAGACCUGAUCCGUGUUUGGCAUGGGUAUUUUUUUGUCCAAGAAAAGGUGCUGUGAACACUUUCCUUACUACCAUGGUCUGGACAAUAUGGUCUGAAUGCAACCACAAAAUAUUCCGUAGCAAAGUAAGCUCGCCAGUUAAUGUUUUUUUUAAAGGCGAAGAGGAUGGCGAUCGGUUGAGCUAGGUUCUUAAAGCUUUUACAAGUUGUGAUAAAAUUGCGAUCCCUCAAGAAGGAGAAGAAGGAGAAGGGGAAGGAGAAGAAUGUCACUUGUAUAAUGGAUGAGCCACACCGUUUUGAAAAUGGAGGCGAACUAUCACCAGUCUUUGCCUUUUGAAAAUGUGUAGUGUAUUUGAAAAUGCUCUCUGCCUUCUGAAAAUAUGUAGUGUAUGUUUGGGUUUGUUGCAAUGAACAUGUCUUUCUUUAUCAAAACUUUCUGCUUUACAAAUGGAACCUACACACUACAAUGGAUGGCUAUACCACACAAAAUUGCAUCAGUUUGACAAUCCCGGUCGCCCACUUAAAUGAACUUCUGUAUGUGUGGUAAAAAAAAUAGAUGGAGUGGGCCUUUCAAAAAUAAACAAAAGAAUUACAUGGAGUCACCUGAUCUUUGGCUGAGGCACGUGCAGUGGGACCUGCCAGUUGAAGGGUUGGAUCUCAGGUGCAUUUUCCAUGCUGGCACAUGCAGCCCACUUGCAGCGUGUGUAUUUUAAGAACAACCAUUGUCCUAGUUCUUCAGUUGUGGAUGAGCCAUACCUGCUUAGUGGGCUGCAAAUGGAUAUUGACAUGAAGAUGAGCUAAGAAUGAGCAGCAAUCCAAAUUUAAUGGUUCAAACUUGCAAAUAUCGAAUGGUUAGGAUCAUUCAAUCAACCAUGAUUUGGGCUAUGGCCUAGUAGGUCAAUGGUCCCAAUGAUGAUCCAAAUUUCCCAUGAAUGGUGGGGUCCGACACUUCAUGGAACUUCCAUGAAGUACUCAUUCUUGGUAACAUUUAUCCUUGAAUUUCAGAAAGACACAUGAAGUAGGGAAGGGGUAUUUUUAGGAUCAAGCAAAAGGUCAGUGGCAGUUUCGAGAUGUUAGAAGCAUUUAGGGUUCGUAGAAAUGAGAUUACAAAAUGGUGGAAAAAGUGACUAAUAGGUUAAUUUAGGUGGAAAAGUAUCAGAUUGGGUUGAAGAAAGGGCGUUCUGUACCAGUCCAUGAGAACUGUAUCAGAAAAUCUUGGGAACCAUGAAGUAUAGGUGCCCUGCUUGUUAACUGAUCUGCUGUAAGCCAUUCUACCAGCUAAUACAUUCCUGAAUACCAUUAUGUUUUUCUAUAUAUGCUCAUAAGCUAAAAUUUUCUAUUGUCUUUCAUCUAACAAUCAUGCACCUUUUGGUCAGGUACGAGGGACAGCGUGCCAUUUAACCAUGAUCGGGCUACGUUGCGUCCAAGGGAAUUAAAGAUGCUCAACAGACGGUAUGUUGUAAAGCUUCUCCUGGUAAAAGAUGGUGAUAUGAUUGCGUGUAGUGUGUGUGAGUGGCCCAGGGUUCAAUCCCUGGCAGUGUUGCCUUUCAAAAAAGAAAAGAAGAAGAAGAAGAAGAAGAAGAAGAAGUAGAAGUAGAGUUGGUGAUGUGAUUGUGUGCCAAGCAUUCACUGAGAGUAUCUCCCACCACCUACAAAUGAGCUUGAUGCUUUGGAAGCGGACAUUGGAACAGAGACGGAGUCUGAGGGUGUGCCGGCGUAUCUUCAACCUGGUAAGGAACCAGAUUUGGAUGCUGAAUUCAAUUUGUCUUGGGUACCAUCAGGGCAUGCAGUGGGGCCCAACAGACAGAAUGCCCAGGUAAAUUCAUUGUCAGUAAUUUUAUCUACAUCAGUGUUUUCAUCAAUUGAUGCAGAUUUUGCUGAUGACUACCUCUAGUUGUAGAAAAGCAAGUAUGGGAAGAUACAAUAUAUGAACCAUGAGCAGAGGAUAUGCACAAUAUGGUUCAGUGA